CACACACGGGUUCGCUUCAGAACGCAUUACUUUUUCGCCUUUUACUAAAAAGUACCGUGGAGCGGAUCACUAAAUGUGAUCUCGAGUUUUUGGAGACGACUUCGGUCUCA
rnacentral:snRNA from 1 species